rnacentral:tRNA from 1 species
GGCCAGGUAGCUCGGUGGUUAGAGCACCUGGGUAUAUGCCAUGGGGUCCUGGGUUCAAAUCUCAGCUUGGUCA